AAUCGCAUUUUCAGAUUUGACUUAAUGUGUAGUGUCCAUCUCCAUUCAGUCCCUUAGUAGAUCAAGAAUGUCAUGUUAUAGAAUGUACCUCUUUUUUAUUGGAGAAGAUGAUUCUGUUUCCAUUUUGAUAUCAGGUUCAUAAGCAAGGUGUUGCACUUGGAAGAUCUGUUGACUUGACAAAGUUUGAUGGUUAUGACCAAUUGAUCGAGGAGUUAGAUCAGCUAUUUGAAUUCAAAGGAGAAUUGAUGGCUCCAAAUAAAAAUUGGAUGAUUGUAUUUACUGAUAAUGAGGAUGAUAUGAUGCUUGUUGGAGAUGACCCUUGGCAGGAAUUUUGUGCUAUGGUCCGUCAGAUUUUUAUAUACACAAAAGAGGAGGUCCAGAAGAUGGAUUAAAGUACCUUGAACCCAAAAAAUGAAGAUUGUCCUGAUAUGAAAGAGAAUGUCAAGGAAACAAAAGGCAGUCAAUCUGCAUCAUCAUCUAAUUCAAAAAACUCAUAGGCUUAUCCUGCAAUGUUAUUGAGAUGUUUUAUUUGAAAACUAUGAUAGGAUCUUGAAGCACAAACAAAGUGAUUGUUUGUGCUUUAUCUAAGUGAUUGUUUGAACAGUUUUAUAGCAUGCAUCUUGACAAUUAAUAUAAUUUUGAAGAUCACUAUCAAGGAAGAAUGUUCAAAGGAAAGUAAAGGCUAAGGAGAAGAUCACGUAAUUACCUACACGGGUCUAGUGAAAAUAC